rnacentral:rRNA from 1 species
GGAGAUAAUACCUGAUAGAGGAUAAAUACUGGAAGGUUUUAUUCUUCAAAGCUUCGGCACCUGAGGAUGGGACUGCGUCGGAUUAGCUUGUUGUCGGGAUAAUUACCCGACAAGGCGAUAAUCCGUACGGGUUGUGAGAGCAAUAGCCCGGAGAUGGAUUCUGAGACAUGAAUCCAGGUCCUACGGGACGCAGCAGGCGCGAAACCUUCACAAUGCCUGAAAGGGUGAUGAGGGAACUCUGAGUGACUUCGCAAUGCGAAGUCUUUUGCCAAGUGCAAAAAGCUCGGUGAAUAAGUGGUGGGCAAGACAGUUGCCAGCCGCCGCGGUAAUAACUGCGCCACGAGUGGUGAUCUCGUUUAUUGGGCUUAAAGCGUUCGUAGCCGGUUUUAUAAGCAUCUGGUGAAAUCCGAUAGUAAACUAUUGGGCUGGCUAGGUGUACUGUAAGACUAGGGACCGGUAGGGGCCGGGAGUACUCCUAGGGUAGGGGUUAAAUCCUUUAAUCCUAGGGGGACUACCAGUGGCGAAGGCGCCCGGCUAGAACGGGUCCGACGGUGAGGGACGAAAGCUGGGGGAGCGAUCCGGAUUAGAUACCCGGGUAGUCCCAGCUGUAAACGAUGCCCGCUUGGUGUGGUGAAACUUUCGUGGUUUUGCCGUACCGUAGCGAAA